rnacentral:rRNA from 1 species
GCAUAACGCGAAGAACCUUACCUAGACUUGACAUCUCCUGAAUAGUGUAGAGAUACAUGAAGCCCUUCGGGGCAGGAAGACAGGUGGUGCAUGGUUGUCGUCAGCUCGUGUUGUGAAAUGUUGGGUUAAGUCCCGCAACGAGCGCAACCCUUAUCCUUUGUUGCCAGCGGUCCGGCCGGGAACUCAAAGGAGACUGCCAGUGAUAAACUGGAGGAAGGUGGGGAUGACGUCAAGUCAUCAUGGCCCUUACGAGUAGGGCUACACACGUGCUACAAUGGCGCAUACAAAGAGAAGCGACCUCGCGAGAGCAAGCGGACCUCAUAAAGUGCGUCGUAGUCCGGAUUGGAGUCUGCAACUCGACUCCAUGAAGUCGGAAUCGCUAGUAAUCGUAGAUCAGAAUGUUACGGUGAAUACGUUCCCGGGUCUUGUACACACCG